GGCAGAGAGAAGAGGACGAGGGUAUUAGAACCUUAACGCUCAGAGCAGAACCCUUUAUAACUGGGACCCAGAGCUCUGGAGCAGCCGCUGCCUCC